GGAGAAUCUUAGAUUUUCUUAAUGUUCUGUAAGCGAAUCAGCAAUGCAGCAACAGGACGUUGCUGCAAGCAAAAGCCGUGACACGGAUGUCACGUCUUUUGUGGUUGCGUGAAUAAAGAAAUCGUAUAUCAGAACAUAUAGAAAAUAUUAGAUUCGG
rnacentral:ncRNA from 1 species